CGCGGAGGCGUGUGGCAGUCUGGAGGUUGUAAAUAAGAUGGAAGUGGCCUGUGCUAACACCUUAUAUUCUGGAUCCGGAGGUCUAGUCUAACCGUAGUGUAGCCUACAUGCAAUUCAGUGGCGAACAGAAAUGAAGUUUGGAUACGGGCUAGGUACGUGCUGAGAGAGAAUGAACAAAUUAAUUAGAAAGGUGCCUUCCAAUUGACCGCUUUGGCUUGGUAUGGGUUAGAGAGGCCAUCAGUGUGUCAUUUGUUGGUGCUUGAGCAAACACACUGAGCAAUUUACUGGAAAGAGGAGAAAUGCUGGACAACAUCUGCAAUGCUGUCAGGGAUGACUUUGAGAUAGGCAACAUGUCCUUCACACACAAUCUGAAGGAUGCUUUGGACAAUCUUCACACAGUGGGUGAUAGCAUGUUAAUUAAAGAUAUUACCAUUGUUGAGAGAUAUUACUGGGAAUUCAAACCAUUUACAGUCCAGGCUGCAAAUUGUCAAGAGAGGCAAGAUAUUUAAGGACUACCUAGUGUUGUGCCCCACUAAAGAAGAUCGAGCAAGGCUCAGUAGUGGAGGCGUCGUGGCUGGGAAGUGGCUUGAAGCUAUUCCAUGUUUGCAAAAUUCACAUUUUCCAAUGCCCAAUUUUGUAUUUCGGCAUUCAUGCGUCUUGGAGUGUCCCUCCCCAGUUGAGAAAUAUCAAACAAUACGUCAGUCAAUGUAAGAUGAUGACAAGGGUUACCAUCUUUUGACGUAGAAAUUUGGGGUGGCCCCAUAAGACGUCACAAUCACUUUCUUGAUAGCGUUUUAAUAUAUUAUAAUAUGUUGCAGUCUGUUAAUUAUUGCUGCAGGAAAGAACUUAUGCCACAGUUUGAAGGGAAACAAUGCACUGACAUAGCAGUGUACAACUACCAUGAUGGCAAAAAAUUGCUACUGGACAUUGUAAUUACCCAUUCCUCGUCCAAGACAAAUCUAACUGACAGCAGUGAGAAAGCUGGAUUUGCUGCAUCUGCAAAGGAGAAAGAGAAAAAGGAUGAAAAUAUUUAUUGAAGGCGAACAAUCUUGGACUCCUCUUCCGGCCUAUAGCCAUUGAAGUAUUGGAAGAUCGGGGAAACAAGCCGAGGAGAAGGAGAUAUUGUUGUUGGCACCACUUGUGCUAAAUAUGCCCUGUGACCAAUGUAAGAGACCCGGGCAAUCCAGCUGGAGAACUCUGACAUAAUUAGUGACAAGAUUAUCAGCAGUUUCAGGAAAAUUCAAAUAAGCCAGCUAACGUGCCAACUUCGCCCAGUUUUUGGAUUGGAAUGUAAUUGGAUCUGACUGACAGGGCUCGGAACUUUGUAUUGUAGCUAGAUUUUGUUGUUGUAGUGAAAAUGGUUUUGAAAUAAAUGAAUGAAUGAAUGAAUACUCGACAAGGACAGGAUUUUAGAAUCAUGACCUUUCUUGCUGCACUGUUAGCUGUCUUGCUGCAUUGAGGCUUGAAUAUCAGGGAAAGCCGAAAACAUUGCAAGACUAGUCAUGAGGCUAAGCAUUGACUAGACAUGAAUGUUUAUGAUAAAGGGCAGUUUGCCCUGGACACUGUUAUUAUAUAGAAAUUUUGCUGUUGUGAUGCAGCACUGAUUAAAAUUUAAACUGAAUGAAUAAAGCUACGGAUUAAGGACACAACACUUCAAGUAU